rnacentral:ncRNA from 1 species
CUUUACUGAGGGUAGAAACACUGAGCCUUCUUUUAUAAACGCAUGGUCGGCUCAGCACUAGGCCAGCGGGCCGUCGAGGCAUCUACCGCACCCAACUCCAGGGUAUAAAGAGAUGUGGGACACGCCGCCCCACCAGUAAUU